UACGGGGGGGAGCAAGCGUUGUUCGGAUUUACUGGGCGUAAAGGCGCGUAGGCGGGCGCAACAAGUCACUUGUGAAAUCUCCGGGCUUAACCCCGGAGCGGCCAAGUGAUACUGUCGUGCUAGAGUGCGGAAGGGGCUACUGGAAUUCUCGGUGUAGCGGUGAAAUGCGUAGAUAUCGGGAAGAACACCCCGUGGCGAAGGCGGCUCUCUGGGACGGUACUGACGCUGAGACGCGAAAGCGUGGGGAGCGAACAGGAUUGAGAACCCCAGUA
rnacentral:rRNA from 1 species